rnacentral:tRNA from 1 species
CAGAGGGUAGUUUAAUUUAGAAUCUUAGCUUUGGGAGUUAAGGGCGGGAGUUAAA